UGACUGGCACCAUUCUGGAUAAU
rnacentral:miRNA from 1 species